rnacentral:rRNA from 1 species
CGCGGCCUAUCAGCUUGUUGGUGGGGUAAUGGCCUACCAAGGCGACGACGGGUAGCCGGCCUGAGAGGGUGACCGGCCACACUGGGACUGAGACACGGCCCAGACUCCUACGGGAGGCAGCAGUGGGGAAUAUCGCACAAUGGGCGAAAGCCUGAUGCAGCGACGCCGCGUGAGGGAUGACGGCCUUCGGGUUGUAAACCUCUUUCGCCAGGGACGAAGCGCAAGUGACGGUACCUGGAUAAGAAGCACCGGCUAACUACGUGCCAGCAGCCGCGGUAAUACGUAGGGUGCGAGCGUUGUCCGGAUUUAUUGGGCGUAAAGAGCUCGUAGGCGGUUUGUCGCGUCGGCCGUGAAAUCUCCACGCUUAACGUGGAGCGUGCGGUCGAUACGGGCAGACUUGAGUUCGGUAGGGGAGACUGGAAUUCCUGGUGUAGCGGUGAAAUGCGCAGAUAUCAGGAGGAACACCGGUGGCGAAGGCGGGUCUCUGGGCCGAUACUGACGCUGAGGAGCGAAAGCGUGGGGAGCGAACAGGAUUAGAUACCCUGGUAGUCCACGCUGUAAACGUUGGGCGCUAGGUGUGGGCGACAUCCACGUUGUCCGUGCCGUAGCUAACGCAUUAAGCGCCCCGCC